rnacentral:rRNA from 1 species
UUGACGGCGUAGGCUAAAUUGUGCUAGCCGAUGGUUGUGCUAGUCUAAGCAAGUAGGUGAGUGUUUAGGAAAAUCCGGACACUGUAAACACCGAGAUGUGAUGGGGAACUGAUCAGAAUUUCUGAUCAGGGUAGCAAUUGAUGCCACACUUCCAAGAAAAGUUGCUAAACUAUAGGAUCUAUUAAUCCGUACUACAAACCGACACAGGUAGACAGGUAGAGAAUACUAAGGCGUAGAGAUAACUUGGGUGAAGGAACUCGGCAAAAUGACACCGUAACUUUGGGAGAAGGUGAACCUUCAUUAUGUGAGACAAUUUAUGUUAUGCAUAAACUUGUUGAGCGGAAGGAGGUCUCAGAGAAAUGGCGGUAGCGACUGUUUACUAA